UCUAUUUUACGCAUUAGUAGAAAAUCAAAACUUCGCAAGUUCUCUUGUAAAAUAAAAUAAUUAAAAAAACAACAACAUGGAAUAAACUGUGUACAGAAAGCGAUUAAAGAACACUCAACAUUAGGCUACUAAAAAGAUCAGUUUAAUCUCGCAAAAACUCCCAUUAAUAAAAAAAACUGACUACACUUCACAAUUAAUCUCUUGCACUGCAUCCUUGUUGUUUAUGAUGAAUUCGGUGCUUGCACGUAGCCUACACUGCUUUUAUUAUUAUUGCAGCUUAGAUGUUCAAAUAGCUGCAGUACUCCGACUUUGCCACAAGGACAAGUGCGUACGCCUGCUCAGACCCUGACGUGACGAACAGAAUAAAGGCUUCUGGAAUUGCUCCCCAUCUUGGAGAUUCUUCAUGUAAAAUCACUGAUGAGUGUAACAGCUGUGAUAAGAGGCCUGCUAGAGUUUAUCUGGAGUUUCACAGGUGACAAAUCUGAGCUUCCAAGACACAGCACAGCUACACACGCACACAAUCUGCUCUUUAAGGUAAACUGGCAUACAGUCUGUUCAUUUUAUUAAUGUAUGAAGUUUAAUACCAA
rnacentral:lncRNA from 1 species